CUUAUUUUUCUCCUAGACCUUUCAUUGAGAUUUGCUUUAUUCAUCUUCAUCUAUAUUUAUAUGUGUACUUCGAUUUUGUCUCAUUGUGUAAAACGACACUUACCAGAAUGUGCUUCUGUCAUUAUCUACAUGUUCUAUUCUUUGGGGAUUUCUUUUUAUGAGUAUCAUCUCUGAAUAAUCGCGGAAAAAUCCCACCAAUUUGAAGAUGCCACCUGAGGAAACAGAAAUUCUAUGUGUGGGAAUUUUGUCCAUCAAAAUAAACAGAUAUGUGUAAAAAUUUAUGUACAAGUUUACUCAGCUACUGUGUUAUUUAUAAAAGCAAACCAUGGAAAGUAUUGAGAUAUACCCGGCAAUGAAUUAUCAUAUAUCUUGAACACUGUGAAGCCAUUGAAAAUGGUAGUGAGAAUCACAUUUAAUGAUAAGGAGGAAUAUUUAUAUUAAUUGAAAAAUCAGGUUAUAGAAUAUGUAUAGUAUAUUUACAAAUUUGUAAAACAUAUAUGUGCAUAUGUAGGUAAAUAAGAUAAAGUUUAUACCUAAACAUUUUAAUAAUUAUUUUUGUGUGGUGGAAC
rnacentral:lncRNA from 1 species